rnacentral:rRNA from 1 species
UGGGGGAUAUUGCACAAUGGGCGAAAGCCUGAUGCAGCGACGCCGCGUGGGGGAUGAAGGCCUUCGGGUUGUAAACUUCUUUUGCUCUGAACAAGGCGCACCAUGGGGUGUGUUGAGUGUAGGGGUUGAUUAGCGCCGGCUAACUACGUGCCAGCAGCCGCGGUAAUACGUAGGGCGCGAGCGUUGUCCGGAAUUAUUGGGCGUAAAGGGCUUGUAGGUGGCUGGUUGCGUCUGUCGUGAAAGGUCAUUGCUUAACUGUGGGUUUGCGGUGGGUACGGGCUGGGUUGAGUGUAGUAGGGGAGGCUGGGAUUCCUGGUGUUGCGGUGGAAUGCGAAGAUAUCAGGAGGAAUACCGGUGGCGAAGGCGGGUCUCUGGGCUGUUACUGACACUGAGGAGCGAAAGCAUGGGGAGCGAACAGG